rnacentral:rRNA from 1 species
UACGGAGGGUGCGAGCGUUGUCCGGAAUCACUGGGCGUAAAGGGUGCGCAGGCGGCCGUGUGUGUGAGGCGUGAAAGCCCGAUGCUUAACAUCGGAAUUGCACCUCAAACUACAUGGCUAGAGCAUUGGAGAGGGUAGCGGAAUUCACGGUGUAGCAGUGAAAUGCGUAGAUAUCGGAAGGAACAUCAGUGGCGAAAGCGACUUCCUGGACCGUACCGACGUCAGGCACGAAAGCGUGGGGAGCAAACAGGA